UCCCUGGAGGACUAGUGGUUAGGCCACAGCGCUCUCACUUCUGCAGCCCGGGUUCGAUUCCUGGCCAGGGAA
rnacentral:tRNA from 1 species